UACGUAGGGUGCGAGCGUUGUCCGGAUUUAUUGGGCGUAAAGGGCUCGUAGGCGGCGUGUCGCGUCGGGAGUGAAAGCCCGCUGCUUAACGGCGGGUUGGCUUCCGGUACGGGCAUGCUGGAGUGCGGCAGGGGAGACUGGAAUUCCUGGUGUAGCGGUGGAAUGCGUAGAGAUCCGGAAGAACACCGGUGGCGAAGGCGGCCUGCUGGGCAGUAGCUGACACUGAGGCGCGACAGCGUGGGGAGCAAACAGG
rnacentral:rRNA from 1 species